rnacentral:rRNA from 1 species
UACGAAGGGGACUAGCGUUGUUCGGAAUUACUGGGCGUAAAGGGCGCGUAGGCGGUUUUGUGCGUUAGAUGUGAAAGACCUGGGCUUAACCUGGGAAGUGCAUUUAAUACGGCAAAGCUAGAGGACGAGAGAGGAAAGUGGAAUGAUGCAUGUAGAGGUUAAAUUCGUAGAUAUGCAUUGGAACACCAGUGGCGAAGGCGACUUUCUGGCUCGUAA